rnacentral:rRNA from 1 species
UACGGAGGAUCCAAGCGUUAUCCGGAUUUAUUGGGUUUAAAGGGUGCGUAGGCGGCCUAUUAAGUCAGUGGUGAAAGCCUGCAGCUUAACUGCAGAAUUGCCAUUGAUACUGAUGAUCUUGAGUAUGAUUGAGGUGGGCGGAAUGUGUCAUGUAGCGGUGAAAUGCUUAGAUAUGACACAGAACACCGAUUGCGAAGGCAGCUCACUAAGCCAUAACUGACGCUGAUGCACGAAAGCGUGGGGAGCAAACAGG